rnacentral:misc_RNA from 1 species
GGAAGUAAAAGUUGUAACAAGGUUUCCGUAGGUGAACCUGCGGAAGGAUCAUUAUUGUAUAACCGAGGUGCGAGGGCUGUCGCUGACCCGAAAGGUCGUGCACGCCCGAGUGCCCUCACACACAUCCAUCUCACCCCUAUGUGCACCACCGCGUGGGUCCCCCUUUGGCUUGUUCGGAGGGGGGCUUACGUUUUCACACAAACUUUGUAUGCAGUGUAGAAUGUAUUUUUUGUUUUUGCGAUCGCGCAAUCAAUACAACUUUCAACAACGGAUCUCUUGGCUCUC